CUCCCUCUCCUUGAGCUCUCCUCUCUUCAUGCUCUCCCCUCUCUCUUCCUGCCAGCGAGCCCCUCUUCACUGCCGCCAUCCACUGUCCACUGUCUGCUGACCGCGCUGCCCGCCAUCCGCCAUCCGCUGGAAGUAAGGUUUUCAUCCUUUUUUUUUGCAUUGAUCGGGCCACUAGGGGGUGGAGCCGUCCAUGGGGGGGUGCU
rnacentral:lncRNA from 1 species